CACUAAUCACCCCUCUGCCUUUCAGCAGUGAAAUGUUAUCACCCUUCAGCAAGGCAUCAAACCAGAACUGCAGAGGGAUUGCUAACACUGACCUGCCCUUCUCAUCAACAUGAAAAAAAAGAGAAAGCCUCUUCGGGACUGUGUUGCACUGCUGGGAAAGGAUGGAGGGCAGACGUUUGCAGACAGCAAAGGCCAGACAAAACAUCUUCAAGGAUGAAUGUGAGACUUUGAUGUGUCUAUUGGCGGCUGCUAUUGUCUAUUCCUACUCUGAGAGGCGGGUUGGGCUGAAGAUCUCCAGAGAUCACUUCCAAACAGCACAUCCAUACGAAGGAGAAGAAACAGGAAAGAGAAACUUGUUCCUGGUGCCAUAAGGAUGAAAAAUUGGGAGCAAGGGAGAGCAAGAAAAAAAGAGAUUGAUAUUUUGCUUCCAAAUCAACACCUGGAGGGGAGCAAGGCACCCUGGAAACGGUGGGACACAUGCUAUGGGAAGAAGAAAAUAAAGAGGAGGGGAAGAUGUGGAUCCAGGAUUCAUCACAUCAGUUGUAAACCUGGUAUAGAGGCUUGUAGGAAUAUUACACAGAGGAAUUUGGCCUCUGAUAUAAACCUAGCAGAGGACAACCUUGCGAAUGUGAUCCAAAUACUUCUUCCUCUUCUUGAAACCUAGGCACUGAGGCCUACGUGGCUGACAUGGAGGGCCAAGCUGGAGGGGAAGCAGAUGACCUAGGCAUUAAUCCCACUAGAAAACCAAACGACAUGUGAGAGGAAUUUCUUGUCUGAGAAAAUCUUCAGAAAUCUGGCUGAACACUCUUUUCUCUCACUAUUCACCUGGCUUUGAGGGAUAACAAGGACUUAGCCAGGAGUCAGCCACAGCUACAACAAAACUGAGUUAGUCAUCUGCAUGUUACCAACCACGUGCUCAGAAAUGGCCGUCCUACAAAAACAAGUUCUUCGAGACCUGCACCACUCCUUCCUUUAGUUUGGUUUCAAACUAAAACAGGGGAGAUUUAGACUGGAAAUAAGAAGAAGAUUUUUUGUUUUUUGUUUUUUGUUUGUUUGUUUGUUUGUUUGUUUAUGAUAAGGGUGGUAAGGCACUGACACAGGUUGCCCAGAGAGGUGGUAGAUGCCCCAUCCCUAGAGAUGCUCAAGGUCAGGCUGGACGGGGCUCUGAGAACCUGAUGAAGCUGUGGGUACCCCUGUUCAUUGAUGGGGGUUGGACUAGGUGACCUUUAGGGGUCUCUUCCUCAAAUGAUUUUAUGAUUCUAUGACUUUGAUAUGGUCACCUGUGGAGGUCAAGUGUUCUGCAGUAGUGAGAUCCACUGAGCAGUGAGUCAGAAGUGGUUGGGUCUUUUAUUGAAUGCAGCUGAGUAAGUUGCUUAUGUACUGACUACAACUUGGUACAUUUUCUCCAUCAAGUUUAAAAAAUAAGGAUGAUUGCAAAUGUUCCCUUCCAACUAUUCUGUGAUAGAAUGUUGUGCGUUGGUUUAGCUAUAUAAAUCCUUGCAUUUUGCAGAAUGGAUAAUAUCCUGUGAAUUUAAAGUCAAGCAACAAAAAAUGUUUAAUCUUGGAAUGAAAAAAAAAGUUCAAUCUUCAUUUUCAAUUUAAAAAAUAGAAGUGUAUUUUGGUGUCACAUGGCUAAAAAUAUAUUUUUUCAAACACAUGCAUAUUUUUAAGCAACAUCAAAACUCAUUGCUGAGAUUUCCUGAUCUCUAAAUUCCCAUUUAGGGCUCUGGACACCUUUUUUCCCAAGCUUUGUAGUAACUGUUUGAUGUAGCCUUCACAAGCUGCC
rnacentral:lncRNA from 1 species